CCCAUAAACAGAUAAAAUAUAACAACCAAAUAAAACAAUUACAAAACCCAAUUACAAGACUAAAACAGCAGGCCCAACUUCCACAUCAAAUGACCCAAAUAAUAAAAAAACCUAAAGCCCACCUAGCCCAACAAACUAAACAUUUUCAGCAGCAAAAAAACCCUAGCCACCAAGUUUUCAGCCGCCACUCCCCUCACCAUUGGCCAUCACGCUCACCACCCAUGCACGCCCCUCACCUCCUCGUGAGCCACCCACAUCUGACACACCUGCAACAGAGACAAAAACAACAGCAAGAGAAAGCAUGCGAUGUAACGCCCCAAUUUUUGGGAAUUCUGUGAAUGUUGGCAAAAUUUCAUGCUUUAAUUUUUGUCAUUUGUGAGUGAAAUUACGAAAUAGGACCUAUGUGAAAAUGUUUGAAAAUGCUAUAGGCUAAAUUGAAGUGACCAAAUAAAUAGGAGUACAAAAUAGGAGGAUUUGCAUGACAAACCUUCCAUUUUACAUGAAGUGGCCAGCCAUCAUGUUGUUGUAGACAAAAUGUACACUUGAUAUCCAUAAUUUAUGGUACAAAUUGAUACAAAUUGAUAAUAGGUUAGGUAAAUGUUCCAUGAUAAUGGGUUAGGUAAAUGUUUCAUGAUAAUGGGUUAGGUAAAUGUUUCAUGAUAAGAAUUUCAUGUCUUUUGUAUUAAAGAAUUAAAUGGAUGAAAUAUGAAGUUUUAUUAAAAGAAAAAGGGGUGAAAAGAACAAAGUUUUGUCCAUCUUUGUUCAUCAUAGCUGAAAGUUAGAGAAGAGAAAGGAGAGGAGAAAGCUCUUGAGUGUUCGGUCACUUGGGGAAGAAAAUUGAAGGUAAGUUCAUGGUAGUUGGCUUCUAUCUUGAUGUUCAUGAGUUCUUCUUGAUUCUACCUUAACUCUUGAAGCAUAUUUUGGUUUUUAGUUGUGUUGUGAGCAUUUAGUCAUGAAUUAAAAUGAAGGAAAUGGUUGUUGUUUCAUGUUCUUUUGAUGAAAAAAAUGGAAGAUAGGUGAAGUUGAGCCAAACAAAUGAGCAUGCAUGUGCCUUAGAUGUUAAAGGGAAAAAUCAGCUAACAUGUUGUGCUUUAAAAUGAUGAAAUAGAGAUUAUUCUUAAGUAAAAUCAUAGAUAUGUGAUGAUUGAUUGGUGAUAUACAUGUUUAAAUAACAUGCAUGCAAGGUAUGUGUGAAAGAGUGAUUUGGUAAUAAAUCUGCUUCGGACAGCAGCAGUAACGUGACUUUGGAAAAUCACCAUAAAUUGUGGGAGAUGAAUUAGAAGCUGAAUAAAUUAUGUAAUUAAAGCUUAUUGAGUCUAGUUUCUAAUGAAAUAAACAAAAACAUAUUUUGAAUUUUGUACAAUGAGAAAUUUGAUUUGUAAUGAAGAGUGGUCAGAUUAGUCAAACAGUGAAACAUGGGAAAAUUUGAGAAAAAUCUGGUAUUGAUUGGCUAAAUCAAAAAUUCUUAAAAUUUUAUGGAUAGAAGAUAUAUGAGUCUAUUUUCAGGAAAAAUUAACGGAACUUGAUUUGGAGUUUCGUAGCUCCAGUUAUAAAUAAUUUAGUGACUGUUGCUCAGGAAGACAGCUUGCAGUGAAAUUAUGAUUAUGUGGUAAACAUUGACAAAAAUUUGUUAAUGAGUUGCUUAUUGAUUUCUUAUAAGCUUACUAUGAUCUGUAGGUGUGGUUGGCCGAAUAUUGAAAGGGGUUAAUACGUAGUUUGUAUUUGAAUAGUUAGAUUAACGUGUUAGUAAUCCAAUUGUAGGUGGUUCGUGUGUGGAUCUCAUCAGCAUAUCAUCGCAAACAGGUGUGUAACUAACACCCUCUUUCUUAGUCUAGAUCGGCAAAAGCCAAAAAGCCGAAAUGUUGAAAACCGGUAUUUUGUAGAUUUGCGAGUGUGCGAAUGCUCGUGAGGUAAAUCGAUUAAUGUUUUUGGUAAGCUGUAAUGUUUGGACUGCAAAGUGCAUGAUUUCUGUGCCCUCGAUAUUUUUGGGUUUAAUGGGCCAAAAUUGGAAUGAUGGGCCAACGGGCCCAAUUCGGUAAGAACCCUCGGUACGUGAUUCUGUUAGUACGUGAAAGGUAGGAAUAUGCAUGAAAAACUCUAAAAUAGAUAAAUUACUGAAAUACCUUUAAAAGUGAAAAAUUUACAGUUUUACCCCCUAGUAGAUAAAUUACCGAAAUACCCCUAGGGUUAAAUUGACCUAAAUGCAUGUUUGACUGUUGUUAUUUACUGCAUGCCAUGUUGUUAUUAUCUGAUGCAUGGGACUGGGAUAUUGACGGAGGAAGUACUGAAAAUGGCUUGUCCACGUACUGGAGGCUUUGCCUCAAUUUACUGUUAACUGAGCAGCAAGGCUGCAACUGUGGAGUGUUGGGCUGGGUGGGUUGAGCUAUUCCCCACAUGGAGUGUAUGGCUGGUACAGGUGGAGUGUAGUGGUUGGUGGGUUGAGUAGUCUCCCCAAAUGGGCUUGCAUAUGUUUACUGAUGUUGCAUGUAUUUUGAAAUGGGCCUAUGGGCCAUACUGUUAUCUGAAUAAUGGGCUAAGGCCCAGUUUAUUGUAAUCUGAAAAGGGCUCUGGCCCAGUACCACUGUUACCUGAAUGGGCUUAGGCCCAAUAGGCUUGAGCUAACUUGGGCUUUGAAUGGGUUUUCCUUACACACUGAGUUUCCCCAAACUCACCCCUUUUAUUUUCAUCCACACAGGAAAUCCCCAACCAUAGUGGGCUUGGAGCUGUGAGGGAAUUCAGAGUGGCCACCCGUUCUGAAAGUUUGAUUUUCUUCUGGUAAACUGGACAUCCUUUUAUUUACGUUUGAAGUUUUUGGGCUUUUAAAUGUAAUAAGGCCGCUUAAUUAUUUUUUAUGGUUUUAAUAUGUAUUACUAAGAUAGGUAAUACUUAUUUUAACUGUUGAAAUUGGAUAGCUUUAGGGCGCGUUUUCAAAAACAACAAUUGAUUUCAAAAUAACACGACAACAAGCAAAGCUUCCGCAAUGAAAGUACUUUCCAAAAUUAAUCACUUUUCCUAAAAAUGACUUAAUCAAAUCAGUUUCCUAGAAAUAUCCAUGACGUUAAGGUGUGGCAAUGGCGGUAUGCAUGUCUAGGAUUGGAUCCGAAGGGAGCUUGGUACUUAAGCAGUCCGAUGGACUCACCACCUCUUUUCCGGUUUCCUACCUGGUGCACAGCUUCCAUUCACUUUAACCUUUAAUGAAUUAAUCUUUUGAACAUCAAGUACGAUUUUCUGGACUUAGAAUGGAAAUUUUUUUUUUACGUUUUUGAUGUGGCAUGCCGGAUCCGGCCAUAACUUCUGGGACGGGUUUGGGGUGCUACAUGCGAGGGAUGGGGGAAGAAAUAAAAAAGAACGAAAACAAAAAAAUAAAAGAUGAAUGUUUUGUAGAUCGGCCUUAAAAAGCCAAAAUCUAUCAUUUGUAAAAGGGGGAUUUUACAAAGAUUGAAAAAGAGACAAUCACAAAAAUCCCUCCGAACUUCGAAUACAAUGGAAAAAUCAAUAAAAAGGUUUGCAUUUUUUCUUUUUCUCUCUUCUUUCGAAUCUUUUUUUUCCUUCUUUCUAUAUACAUAUACAUAUACAUAUACAUAUUAUUAAAAAAAACAAAAAAAGUUACCUUUUGAACUUCC
rnacentral:lncRNA from 1 species